GCUGGGUGUGGUGGUGCACGUCUGUAGUCCCAGCUACUCAGGAGGCUGAGGCAGAAGAAUUGCUUGAACCCAGGAGGCCAAGGUUGCACUGAGCCGAGAUCCUGCCACUGCACUCCAGCCUGGGUGACAGAGCGAGACUCUGUCUCAA
rnacentral:sRNA from 1 species